rnacentral:lncRNA from 1 species
UAAUAGUCAGACUGUCAGGGGCAAAAAGUCAAACUGGUCCAAAGAAGGAACAUGAAAAGAUCAUCAGAACAGUUAUAAAAACACAUUUGUAGGUGACUGAACUUAAUCACCCAAGUACUUUCUUACCAUGAGAUCCUCUUUUUCUUUAACUUUUAAAUCACUGAUGGUACAUCUUUCUUCCUGCAAAGCAUGAAAAAUUAGGGAGCACAGCUCCUGUCAACAUUAAUUACAGUUGUUAUGAAGUCAGAAGACUGUUGGGAAAAAGGCUCUUAAAAAGCAUUUGUAACUUGUAAAACAAGGACUGAUCUAUUGUUGCCACUAUGAGCCUCAAAUUUCAGAAGGCACCAUAAAUCUUAUGACUUGUGGAGCCCUGUUCUAUACAAAACAUCAUUUUGGCACCCUGGAAAAUCACCAUGCCUUUCAGUCUUCAGCUGUGGGCACCAGAAUAGAGUCAUAAAUUAUCUUCGGGCAUUUUUAUUUCCUGCCUCAUCAGGAUGAGUCCUCUGCUGUAUUUAGGCUUUCGAUUGCCUAAUUUGUAAACACUUUUCAUGAACUCUGUAAUUAAUUGGCAGGCAAGAUUACACACUGGCUGGAAGUAAUUGUAGAUUGCUCUUAAUUGUAAGAGCAUACUUUUGGUGGCUCGUUUAAAAUACAUAUGCAGAUUAAAGACAAAUAUAAACAGUAAUUAAUGUCUGAAUGCAAACAGUGUGCUGGUUUGGAAGGUGUGCCAUCAGAGUUCAUCCUGUUUUCCUCAGCCUCCUUACUCCCUGCCUGCCUUCAGGCUGGGCUACAGCAGCAUGGCUGCUGCACCCAAGCGAAGGCUCAGAGCAGAGGAGGGAGAGGAAGCAGCACUUGUACGUGGUCCUCCUUAACCUGCUGGCCACUCUUCUGUUGAUGGAGUCUGGGAUGCAGAUUGGCCUUCUGGACUGCAGGUGCAAACUGCUAGUUCCUGUUGAAUUUUUUGUCCACCAGAACCCCAAGUCCUUCUCUGUAGGGCUGCUAUCGAUGAGGUCUGAACCCAGUCUGCCUUCAUGUCUGGGAUUGCCUCAACCUAUGUGAAGCACUUUGCCUUGGCCUUCUUGAAUCUCAUUAGGUUCACAUGGGACCACUUUUCUAGUUUGUCUAGGUCACUCUGGAUGGCAUCCAUUCCUUCUCGUGUAUCAACUGCACCACUCAGCUUGGUGUCAUCUGCAAACUUGUUGAGGGUGCACUCAAUCCCACUUCUAUGUCAUUAAUGAAGAUGUUAAACAUCACUGGUCCCCAGAUGGACCCCUGAGAGACACCACUUGUCACCAGCCUCCACCGUGACAUACAACUGUUGACCGCAACUCUCUGGCUGCAGCCAUCCAGCCACUCCCAUGUUCACUGAAUUUUCCACCUUUCAAAUCCUUCUCUCUCCAAGUCACAGACAAGGAUGUUGUGUGGGACCGUGUCAAAGGCCUUUGAAAAGUCCAGGUGGUUGAUAUCUGUUGGUCUUCCCUUGUUGAUUCAUGCAGUUACUCCAUGAUAGAAGGCCACUGAAUUGGUCAGGCAUGAUUUACCUUUGGUGAAGCCAUGCCAGCUGUCUCAAAUCACCUCCUUGUCUUGCAUGUGCCUUAACUUGGUUUCCAGGAGGAUCUUUUCCAUGAUAUUGCCAGGCACAGAGGUGAGGCUCACUGAUCUAUAGCUCCCCAGGUCCUUAAAAAUGGGUGUGAUAUUUCCUUUUUUUUUUUAUUUAUUUAUUUUUUUUUUUCAGUCACAGGGGACUUCACCUGGCUGCCAGGACUUCUCAAAUAUGAUGGAGAGAGGCUUGGUAGCUACAUCAGCCUGUUCCCUCAGGACCCUGGGAUGCAUGGCAUCAGGCCCCAUAGACUUAUACCUUCCACUAGAUCAAGUUGCUCAAAGAUCUUCCUUGAAAUUCCUAGUCUUUAGUGGCUCUCUAUGAUUAUUGUCACUAAGAGCAUGAGAAAACAAGGCUUGUUUCAUCCUUAGCAGUGUUAGCCAUUGUAUUUUCUUAACGUUUUCUUCUACCUUUUAAAAACAUUCCCAGAUUUGAUUACACUGCUUCCCUGCACACACCCCUCUGAGAUAAGCAAGAAAAAGAAAGCUUCAGGCUUUGACAUUCCUGGCCUGCUUCUGCACCUUCUAACUCAUCCACUUAAUGACUAUAGUAACAUAUUGUCUAUUACACCAGAUUUUCAGCUGAUCUAAAUCAGCAAAGCUGCAGUGACUUUAAUGGUGAUAGGACAUUUUGUAGCAGCUGGAGAUGAGGCUCAGUGUAUUACCUAGACCAGACUUCCAUCAUAAUUAUCUAAUUUAUGCCAUUGAAAGUGUGCUAUAAGCAAGGUGUCUGAGCUAAUGGUGAAGAAGUAAUCAUAACACUUGAAUUUAAUGUUUUUGAAUACUACCAGUCUCAUCUAGCUGUUUUAUGGCUCCCAUUGCCAGUACCUCAGAACUCUAGCCUGUCUCGUGUUAUUGCUGGACUUAGCUUGCUCUAGAAGUGAUCAGGACUCCCAUAGGAUGCCAGAUUUUCAUUUUGAAAAACACUGAGCUAUGCUGAUUUAGACAGUGCAAUUCUAGGAGCUUUACUCAUACACUUUGUCAUAGAAAGCUUUUGCAGGAGGUUCUCAAACAGAAAGCCCUUGAGUAAAGCUAUAAUCCUGCCUUGGAGCAAGAGGCAAUAGACCUGUCAGUAAUACGGUGGCAUGGGAAAUGAUGCUGUAAUUAAAGUUUGCUCAGCUUUCCCUUAAUAAAUUUCUAAAAUAGAGGCUUUUUAUGCUAAUA